rnacentral:rRNA from 1 species
GAUGAACGCUGGCGGCGUGCCUAAUACAUGCAAGUCGAGCGAAUGGAUUAAGAGCUUGCUCUUAUGAAGUUAGCGGCGGACGGGUGAGUAACACGUGGGUAACCUGCCCAUAAGACUGGGAUAACUCCGGGAAACCGGGGCUAAUACCGGAUAACAUUUUGAACCGCAUGGUUCGAAAUUGAAAGGCGGCUUCGCUUGUCACUUAUGUAUGGUCACGCGUCGCAUUAGCUAGUUGGUGAGGUAACGGCUCACCAAGGCAACGAUGCGUAGCCGACCUGAGAGGGUGAUCGGCCACACUGGGACUGAGACACGGCCCAGACUCCUACGGGAGGCAGCAGUAGGGAAUCUUCCGCAAUGGACGAAAGUCUGACGGAGCAACGCCGCGUGAGUGAUGAAGGCUUUCGGGUCGUAAAACUCUGUUGUUAGGGGAGAACAAGUGCUAGUUGAAUAAGCUGGCACCUUGACGGUACCUAACCAGAAAGCCACGGCUAACUACGUGCCAGCCGCCGCGGUAA